rnacentral:lncRNA from 1 species
GCCAUUACAGUAACUUAGUCAACUAACUUUUCUCUGAAUCAACUAAAUACUUCACUUAGUCGAUUUAAAAUUCUUCUUAGUCGACUAAGUCUCAGACAACUGAAAAUAAACUCUCUAUCUUUUGCUGCUUCACUAUGACUUGGUCAACUAACUUUUCACUGAAUCGACUAACUCUCCUGUCUUGGUCAGCUCAAUUCUGAUUUGGUUGGCUAAGUGGAUAAUGCUUAAAAAUCAAUCUUUCUAUCUUGCUGUUGUCCUCUGAGACUGAGUCGACUAAUUUUCUGACUUAGUCGACUAAGAUCCUAUCUUGACCGACUAAGUUGAAUCUGGAUCGACUAAGUCUCCUACAAUCAAAAACUUGACUUUCUAUCGCUGAUACUGAGUUAGCUCAAACAUCCUCAUAGUUGACUCAAAUUACGUGCCCAACGUGCCCUGAAGUUUUUGACAGCCUUUCUUCUAUAAUUUUAUUUCUAAGCUAGACUUAUCUCAUUUACUUGAUUUUAAUCCUCAUUAACUUUCUUUUUAAGGUGUGUCUAAUCUAGAAUUUUUUUAUAAAACUCUUGAGUGGUGGUGCUUUAUUUAAUCGAUGAAAAUUACUUGGAAUAAGGUAAGCACUUGAAAUUUAAACUACACAUCCUCAAAAAUAAUAUUAGUAAUACAACCAAUUAUACUCAAAUACUUUUGUUAUCAUCAAAAUUAAUCCAAGGGUCAACAAGUAAUCUUUGGAGCG